GCCUUGCAGCUAGGCAGUUGAUCCAUUCAUUGCUAAAUAGAGAUCCUGCCAGCCGUUUAGGAUCAAAUGGUGGUGCAACUGAGAUCAAACAGCAUCCUUUCUUCCGUGAAAUAAAUUGGCCGCUAAUUCGGUGCAUGACUCCUCCACCACUAGAUGCGCCACUUCAGUUAAUUGGAAAGGAAUCAGGUACCAAGGAUAUUAACUGGAAUGAUGAUGGAGUACUUGAUCAUCCAAUGGACUUAUUCUAGAGGAUUUUUUCAAUCAACCAUAAAGGACAUGUAUCUGGAACUAAUUAUGUGCAGUUCUAAAGAAGGGACCUUUCUGAUGAAGGAAUUUUAUAUUGUAUAGAAGAUGUUUUAGCCCCUCUUUUUGAUAUUUUGCUCUCAUUUUGGCUUAAGGACCUUGUUCUUAUUUAAGUUUGGAAGGCAAUGAAGGCGAUUUACAUAGAAUUUGUAGAAUGGUGUGAUUAGUAGGAAUUAAAACCUUCCUUCAAAAUUAGAAUCAGUAGUUGUAGGUUUUGUUGGUACAUAAACUUGGCUACUCUUGUAUCAUAGGGUAAAGAUGUAUUUGAGGCAAAAUCAAUAAGCUGCUCUCUUGUAAACUAAUAAAUCAUAUUUAUUGUACUCUAAGCAGCUUCGACCAAUUAUUACUCUGCAAAAUAAGU